GAAGCUCAACAGAGGCAAAUGCAGGGUCCUGCACCUAGGGAGGAAUCAUGGCAUCCUACAUCCUGGGCUCCUCACGAGCAGGUUACAAACACCGGCGGAAACCAGCGGUGAGAUCCCCGCCUCCCCAGGGCCCGGCUGUGUAGGCCCAGGCAGAGGGUGCUGCUGGCUCCGCCCGCACCUCCUCAGCCGCCCUCACGAGGGCUGCCGGGCCCUGGCGGCUCCCUCGGCUGCCUCAAGGGGCCUCGGGACAGGAAAAAAGCCCUAAAAAAACGAAAAGCCCUGCCCGCCGCCAUCCCCAGCUCCACUGCAGCACACCGCUGCCCCGGAGCCCACCGUCUCCCGUCGGGGCUCUUUGUGCAGGUGCACAGCUCUUUCACGUCUUGACAGAGGUUCCAUUUCAGGGAAAUAUUAAAGCAGAAAUUUCAAAGGGACUUCAGAAAAUGCGUAAAGCUCACUGGAAUCAAGUUUGGGAGACAAGUUUCCACAACACAGUCGUUAUUGCUAUUAAAAAGUGAGGAUCACACCUACGCUGUCUGAUUUUGUCCAGUAGCGGUAAGUUUGCAUUGGUGCAGUGCUCACCCAAACAUUUUGACACAUAAUCACUUCCUGGGGAUUGUCCAUUACCUGUUUUGAGGCCAUGGCAUGUAUUGAGUUUAUGCCCUGUGUCUGUGUGCUGUCAGCAAUGAGCUCUCUGUGUUGGGAGCUUUGGCUAAUGUGUAAUGUAACUAGGUGUGCAGGUAGCUAUGCUGAUCUUAAUUAAAAUGCUGCAGUAUCAUCUGAAAGCUCCUUCAGUGUUUUAAGAGAGUAUUGUUGC
rnacentral:lncRNA from 1 species